rnacentral:rRNA from 1 species
GAUGAACGCUGGCGGCGUGCUUAACACAUGCAAGUCGAACGGUGAAGCAGGAGCUUGCUCCUGUGGAUCAGUGGCGAACGGGUGAGUAACACGUGAGCAAUCUGCCCCGAACUCUGGGAUAAGCGCUGGAAACGGCGUCUAAUACCGGAUACGACGCGCGACGGCAUCGUCUGCGCGUGGAAAGAACUUCGGUUCGGGAUGAGCUCGCGGCCUAUCAGCUUGUUGGUGAGGUAAUGGCUCACCAAGGCGGCGACGGGUAGCCGGCCUGAGAGGGUGACCGGCCACACUGGGACUGAGACACGGCCCAGACUCCUACGGGAGGCAGCAGUGGGGAAUAUUGCACAAUGGGCGCAAGCCUGAUGCAGCAACGCCGCGUGAGGGACGACGGCCUUCGGGUUGUAAACCUCUUUUAGUAGGGAAGAAGCGAAAGUGACGGUACCUGCAGAAAAAGCACCGGCUAACUACGUGCCAGCCGCCGCCGUAAUAC